CUUAAUCCUGAACCUGAGGGAGCUGACUGGAGACUUUGGCUGUUAAAUAAAACAAAAUGAUGACCUCAGUCCUCGCCGUCUUCAAUUAAACAAGAAGGAUCGCCUACAAAGCAGAAAGCAGAACAAACCACAAGAGGCUGAAGUGCACGACCACCUCAUGUCCAUGUUGCAGGUGAGUUUUUGAUUUCUCUUUGCACUUUAAACACAAGAUGCAUUUAUUAUGCAUUAGCAGGUUAUUGUAACGUGACUGUCACGUUGAAAAAUGUGUCGUUCUAAUCUGCUGUUAGCGUCACGUGUGGAUUAUCGUGUUUUAUCAGCUCAUGCCUUGUUUUAUUCAAAUUCUGAUACAUGAGCGGUUUCAUGUGUCAUUAUAGUUUUACUGUCAUUGUGGUCGCUGUCAGUCGCAGCUGUUAGUGUUCAAUAUAUUUGCGUGUUCUCAGGUUUUAUAUCAGUUUUUUUACUCGGUUUUACACAAAAUUUUCCCCUGCAAACAUUUUUGUUUUCACGUUUUCCCAGAUGGAGGAUUCAAGCUUAAUCUGAGAGUUGAACAUAUGUUUCUGUGUCGCUAAACUAAACCAAACCAAGCGUGAGCUUUGAGAUUUCCUCUGCCGGCUUCCUAUAAUUCCAGACUGAGGACAUUUAUCUCCGAGGGUAAUUCUUAGCCAAAUUUAUAGUCACAUUUCCUGGGGCAUGGAGCCUUAUGAGAAAUUUGCCUUUUAGGCGAGCUUUAGAGCUCCUUCUACGAGGAGCGUAACACAGAGAGAUAUAGCAUUGUAAAGCUGUCAACACUCCCUUGAUGUUCGAAAGCAAAUUCAUUCACCUCUAGAGCAGUCGAACGCAGUGACGGCAGUUUACUCUUCCUGUAUUCAGAUCAGAGCUAAAAAAUGUUGAUCAUAAACUUCAUGCCGAGCAGAGUCUGACUGAAGUGGUUGGAAGUACGGUCCUUCUCCACCAGUCAGAGGAUCUGGCUGUGUGAGAACAUGUCUGAGCAGUGACAUGUUUUAUUCAGAGCUGCAUUCGCAAAUAUACAAAAAAAAAAAAAAAAAAA